rnacentral:rRNA from 1 species
UACAGAGGGUGCGAGCGUUAAUCGGAAUUACUGGGCGUAAAGCGUGCGUAGACGGUUAUGUAAGUCGGGUGUGAAAGCCCCGGGCUCAACCUGGGAAUUGCAUUCGAGACUGCAUAGCUAGGGUACGGUAGAGGGAAGUGGAAUUUCCGGUGUAGCGGUGAAAUGCGUAGAUAUCGGAAGGAACAUCAGUGGCGAAAGCGACUUCCUGGACCAGUACCGACGUUCAGGCACGAAAGCGUGGGGAGCAAACAGG